GUGCCCGAUUUGGCAGCACAUAUGCUAAAGCUGGAACGACAGAGAGGGUCAGCAUGGCCUCUGCACAAGGAUGACACGCAAAUUUGUAAUGCCUUCCAUCCAUACUUUU
ensembl:snRNA U6 U6 spliceosomal RNA